rnacentral:rRNA from 1 species
UACGUAGGUGACAAGCGUUGUCCGGAUUUACUGGGCGUAAAGAGCUCGUAGGUGGUUCGGCAAGUCAGUUGUGAAAUCUCCGCGCUCAACGCGGAGGGUCAGCUGAAACUGCUGUGACUUGAGUCUGGUAGGGGAGUGUGGAAUUCCCGGUGUAGCGGUGAAAUGCGCAGAUAUCGGGAGGAACACCAGUGGCGAAGGCGGCACUCUGGGCCAGUACUGACACUGAGGAGCGAAAGCGUGGGGAGCGAA